AGCGUGUAUGAUGUAUCGAUGACGUAAUCAACAUACUUACUUGUAACAUCGUGGGUUAGGUAGCACGUAGGUGCUCUAACCAGUCUGUUGCAUACUGUGUACCGUGUAGGGUGGUGUUUGUGGUAAAUAAAUAACCUGUUCUCGAUUGGCAUCACA